UCAAUUUGUGUUUGUGACAAAUUUUACAACUAAUCAAAUAAUAUGUGUUGUAACGAUCAAAAUCAAACCGUCGUUAAUCACAUUCACAGUUUACGUUUAUUAAAGUUAUAUAAAUUAUUUCUUUACGUUUCAAUAAAUUAUUCACAGAAGUCAUACAGAAGAUCACGCUGCCAUACAAUAUGAUUCCAAACAUAAAGUUAAAAUGUA
rnacentral:lncRNA from 1 species